AGGACGAACGCUGGCGGCGCGCUUAACACAUGCAAGUCGAGCGAGAUCCGGUCCUUCGGGACCGGGGAAAGCGGCGAACGGGUGAGUAACACGUGGGUAAUCAACCCUCGGUACCGGGAUAGCCCGAGGAAACUCGGAUUAAUACCGGAUGGCCCAGCAGCUCUUCGGGGCGGCUGGGAAAGGUAGCUUCGGCCUCCGACCGAGGACGAGCCCGCGGCGGAUUAGCUUGUUGGCGGGGUAAUGGCCCACCAAGGCGACGAUCCGUAGCUGGUCUGAGAGGACGAUCAGCCACACUGGGACUGAGACACGGCCCAGACUCCUACGGGAGGCAGCAGUGGGGAAUCUUGCACAAUGGGCGGAAGCCUGAUGCAGCGACGCCGCGUGAGGGAAGAAGGCUUUCGGGUUGUAAACCUCUUUACAGGAGGGACGAAGCUACUCGGGUUAAUAGCCCAGAGGGUGACGGUACCUCCAGAGAAGCCCGGCUAACUACGUGCCAGCAGCCGCGGU
rnacentral:rRNA from 1 species